rnacentral:ribozyme from 1 species
UCUCGUUUGAGCGAGAAUAAAAAGACAUUAAGCUCAAAGCGGCUUUGCCGGCAAACCGGCAAGGCGUUGUA